rnacentral:lncRNA from 11 species
UAAUAAUAAUAAUAAUAAUAAUAAUAAUAAUAAUAAAACUUUAUUUAUACCCCGCCACCAUCUCCCCAACGGGGACUUGGGGCGGCUUAUAUGGGGCCAUGCCCAAAGCAAUACAGUAUAAACAGCAUAUAAAAACAACACAUCACAACACAAUAAGCGAUACAAUAAAUAAAAAUAUCCAAUUACAGUACAAAUCAAGGGGACAAUGAGAACAAGGGCGGUCGACAUGAACAUUAAGUUAAAACUCGGGGUGAGAGAAAAAUAAAACAAAACCAUAGCGAACAGGGUUAUAAGGAAGUGGUAUAGUCUAGAGCAGGGGUCCCCAAACUAAGGCCCGAGUCUCCAAGGUCAUUGACCUGGCCCCCACCCUCAGUUUUAGACCACAGCCCGGGGGAGAGAGUUCCACUGCCGAACAGCCCUUCUCACAGUGAGGAAGUUCUUCCUGAUGUUCAGGUGGAAUCUCCUUUCCUGUAGUUUGAAGCCAUUGUUCCCUUGCGUCCUAGUCUGCAGAGCAGCAGAAAACAAGCUCCCUCCCUCCUCCCUAGGACUUCCCUUCACGUAUUUGUACAUGGCUCUCAUCAUGUCUCCUCUCAGCCUUCUCUUCUGCAGGCUAAACAUGCCCAGCUCUUUAAGCCUCUCCUCAUAGGGCUUGUUCUCCAGACCUUUGAUCAUUUUAGUUGACCUCCUCUGGACGCUCUCCAGCUUGUCAACAUCUCCCUUCAUCUGCGGUGCCCAAAAUUGGACACCAGGUGCCAGGUCUUCAGCUGCUUCCUAAAAGACAUGAGUGAGGAGUCUUCCCUAAUCUCCCUUGGCAAGGAAUUCCACAGCCGCGGAGCCACCACCAAAAAAGCCCUGUCUCUUGUCUUGUUCCCGCCAACCGCACCUGUGACAGUGGCGGGACCGAGAGCAGGGCCUCACUCGAAGAUCUUAAUCUGCGGGAUGGUCCGUAGGAGGAGAUACAUUCUGAGAGCCACCUUGAGUUCCGGUUUCUGGAGAAAGAGCAGGAGGGAGGAGGCGAGGACGAGAAGAAUCAUAUUUUCCUAUCCUUGGCUUUCACAGGAUGUGAGGCAGUCAGAUGCCUUGGGAAGGGUGGGCUCCUUUGGGCCCUCUCCCCAAAUACCUUUCCCUCCCGCAGCAAGGCUGCUUCUAGGGUCGGAACCUGAGCCGAGAGUGUGAUGCAGCACCUUCGCAGAAGCAGACGAGAAGCUCGGCCUCUCACUGAACAUCGAGAAAACCAAACUGCUCUUCCAACAGGCACCAACUAAUCCCUCUGCAAAGCCAGGAAUACAGCUUAACGGUGUAACAUUAGAAAACGUUGACCAUUUCCGCUCCCUUGGCAGCCAUCUCUCCACAAAAGUCAACAUCGACACUGAAAUACAACACCGCCUGAGCUCUGCAAGCGCAGCAUUUUUCAGAAUGAAGCAGAGAGUGUUUGAUGACCGGGACAUCCGUAGAGAUACCAAGGUGCUUAUUUACAAAGUCAUUCCCCUCCCAACCCUGCUCUACGCCUGCGAAACGUGGAUGGUCUACAGAUGACACUGAAAUACAACACCGCCUGAGCUCUGCGAGUGCAGCAUUUUUCCGAAUGAAGCAGAGAGUGUUUGAUGACCGGGACAUCAGCAGAGAUACCAAGGUGCUUGUUUACAAAGCCAUUCCCCUCCCAACCCUGCUCUACGCCUGCGAAACGUGGACGGUCUACAGAUAUCACACCAAACUCCUGGAGCGUUUCCAUCAGCGUUGCCUCAGGAAAAUCCUGCAAAUCUCUUGGGAAGUGUCAGGACCCAGGCUGCAGAGCACCAAUAACCUUACACAGAGGCCAGUCUCUAUCUAAUAUCUUUAUUAAAGAAAUAUAUAAAAUCAAUAAAAACAAGUGAAGAAUAUAGUUCAGAAGCAGACCUUUCAGAUGAGGUCAAAUAUAGUCCAGAAAUGUAUUGUCCAAUAUAAGAUAUUAGAGUUCAAAGUUUUAAUCCACUUGACCGAAACACACACUUUGCCAAGCAAUAGUGUGGGGAAAUGACAGAGUCCUUAAAGUCCAAUGAAGCUUGACAACAAGGCUGGAAAUAAACUUGAUUCUUGAUUAGAUCCGUGACUGGAGGCAAGACGAACAUGAAGCAUGAAACAGAGUCCGUGGUAAAACCGUGAGACAAGGCAAGGCUUGAAGCUUGGAACUGGGAUUACGAAGUCCACACACGAUCUCUCUCCUCAAGCUGAUCAAUUGACUCCGCAAAGAAACCCUCGCGCCAGACACCUAUAUUGGGUCUCGUUUUCCCGCCAACAGAACUCUUUCCCUAGAGAACGAGAAGCGAAACCCAACUCUGUCCAGAUGUGUGACUCCUUAGAAUUUCCCAAGGGAAGCAGACCUAAUCAGCUUGAUGUUUGGCAGCUAAGCGUAAACUCCUCCGUUGGGCCUCUCUGACUCCCCUUUCUCUGGAAUAAGAUUCUUUUCUGGGAAACGGUGGGGAGUUCUGCCCAAGGCCUGUUUGGCUGAAUUCUUGAGGGCAAACAUCAACAUCCUGCAGGUGAAGAGACUCCGGCUCUUGCUGAACCGGCGAAAACCCCAUGUUUUCCUCUUCGUCUGCCACAAUAGUACUAGGAACAGGACUACAAGGCCCAUGAGUCCUCACAGGAAGACAGGUGGACAAAUGCCAGCGUGCUGGAAGAAGCAAAGACAACCAGCACUGAAACCAUAAUUCUGCGUGAUCAACUCUGCUGGACUGGCUAUGUUGUCCAAAUGCCCAAAGAUCACCAUUGUCUCCCAAAGUGGCUACUCUACUCCGAACUCAAGAACGGGAAACACAAUGUUGGUGGGCAGGAAAAGAGAUGUAAAGAUGGGCUUAAAGCCAACCUUAAAAACUGUGGCAUAGACACUGACAACUGGGAAGCCCUGGCUCUUGAGGGCUCUAACUGGAGGUCAGCUGUGACCAGCAGUGCUGUGGAAUCCGAAGAGGCACGAAUGGAGGUGUAAUGAAGUGUGAAUUUUUUGGUUUACAGAUGUCAUGUUUAAUUGUGUUUCUGUUUUAAAAGGGUCAAUAUUUCAGUUAUGCAUCUCUGCACUCAGAGUUGGUUGCCAUGGGCGGAGCCAACUGCCAUUUUGGUGGAGAAGUGCAGGUUUAAAAAAGAAGCAGUGAGUCUGUGCCCUGAUGAGGUACAGGGAAGACUGAUCCUCAGUUGAAGGGAUCAGGGAGACUCAAUUGUUUAUUUGAGUCAGUUUAAAAUAAGUUUGGUGACUUAUUUUAAGGUAGUCUGUCUCCUGAUAAGGAACAGAUAAUCUGUGAUUGCAAUUCACAGGGUGACUGCAGUUUAAAAGCAGUAAAGAAGACAUUCUAAGGAAGUUUGAAUCAACUCAUUCCAAUAUUGCAGCUGUUAAUCAAAGUGCCUCUAAGGAGAAAAGUUAUUGUAACC